rnacentral:sRNA from 1 species
CAAACAAAUAUCCCAUGGGACUACAAUAAUCCCAUGGACAAAAAAAAUCCCAUGGGAUUUAACCAAAAUCCCAUGGGAUAUGGUAAAUCCCAUGGAUUUUGCCCUGUCCCAUGGGAUAUUUG